AUGGACAUCCUUUUAUGUUUGGACUAACUGCCCAUGUUAACCUUCCACAUAUGUUACUGACUGGAAGCCCCUCUAUUCCAGAAACUGGGGAACAUAUCAAAAUCACCUGUAUAUUUUUUUCCUCUUUAGUUGUAUAGAUUUCCCCUCCAGAGUUUUAUUACACACAUUAUGGGGCUUUAACCUGUUUCACAUCCUUCAACAUUCACCAUGUAUUAUGAUCCAUGUACUUAGGUUGAUUGUUUUAGUGAUGCUCGAAGGCGUUAGUUGGUUUAGGGGACACAAAAGUCUCUUGGACAUUACAACAUGAAUUAACUCAUCUGGCCUUAAAAGUAAAAAGGGAAAGGGGGAACUGCUGGGCUAGACUGAUCAACUGAGCUUUCCCCUGAGGUCCGGAUGCAGGGAAAAGGAGUAUGCCUCCUUCUCAAAAACUACCAAUAUGAUUGGUAGAGUUGGUUACAGCCUAGGGCCAGGGCUGCAGGGGAGCUAGGACUUCAGAUCCUGAGACCUCAACUCUUCCCACCAUUUGGUUAUCAGUCCCAAGGCUGGCACAUACUCAAUCUGUAAAAUUCUUAAGAUGCCCUUUGCUCCCCUUGUGCAACAUUGUGCUUGAUUCACCGCUUGCUGGCUCUGUCACAUUGUACGAUUGAUUCUACUGACUCUGUCCCUUUUCUCCCCAGGAAAUAGGAUGUAACAUGCUGUACUUAGUACAUUCGCUUGGCAUAAGAUGUAGCCAGUAUAAGACCUCUCAACCCCAAACUUUUUUUUUUACCUUCUCUACCUUCUGUCCUCUUUGCCUCCUGAUCUCUUGGUCCUCUCUCUUAGGACCCUGUCACUGAAGAACAACCUGCAGGUCCAGACCACGGGGUAACCAUUGGAUAAGUAGCUCUCAUCCCUCAUCAAAGAAAGGCGAUGGAGAUCACUUUUUUGCAGCAGAUGGAGACAAUUGCAGAAAUCCACAGCUGGCCAAAACCCAGAGAACAACCGCCCAGGAGGUAUCCAUUGGCAUUUGGCAUGUCUUUGAAUUAUUCUUAAGGAUGUGAGCCAUUCAGAGCAGUGCACCAAGACUCUGUGAACUCUGCUCAGCAUCUUAUGGCACACUGUUGUUUGAAUAGUUUGUGAUGGACAUUUGAACAUUAAAGACUGUAAAAUGUCCCAACUCA